ensembl:lncRNA novel transcript, antisense to EIF2C3
GGUCUAAUCAAUGGUGCUCUAACUACAGAACAGCGAAUCUUAACCUGGGGACCAUGGGUCAUGAAUGGACUGCAGAAAUUCUGUGACCUCCUGAGAAGUGUUCUGGGUGAGACAAGGCUUGAAAGAGACAAAGAAGGCUGGAGCCCCGUGGCAGAUGAGAUGGUUAGAUCUGCAGGCAUACUAACUGGAAGAGAUACAACAGAGGCUCCCUGGAAGAAGGAUGCCAGACACAGUUGAGAGCACAAGACUGUACCAAAAACAAGAGAUUAAAUGACUUUAACAUAUUAAAUGCUGAAUACAGAAGUUCCCCCAGCUAGAACUCCCAACUAGGCUUCCAGAAUGCAGGCAACCACACUGCUAUCCUUUA